rnacentral:rRNA from 1 species
GGGCUUAACUGUCUCCCCCUUCCAGUCAGUGAAAUUGAUCUAUCCGUGCAGAAGCGGGUAUAAUAUUACAAGACGAGAAGACCCUUUGGAGCUUAAGGUACAAAAUUCAGCCAUGUUAAGCAACUCCACAGAAAGCAAGAACUUAAUGGCCAUGAAGUUUUACCUUCGGUUGGGGCGACCACGGAGGAAAAGCAAGCCUCCGAGUGGACUGGGCCAAGACCCCUAAAGCCAAGAGAGACAUCUCUAAGCCGCAGAACAUCUGACCAAUAAUGAUCCGGCUAAUAAAGCCGAUCAACGGACCAAGUUACCCUAGGGAUAACAGCGCAAUCCUCUCCCAGAGCCCAUAUCGACGAGGGGGUUUACGACCUCGAUGUUGGAUCAGGACAUCCUGGUGGUGCAGCCGCUAUUAAGGGUUCGUUUGUUCAACGAUUAAAGUCCUACGUGAUCUGAGUUCAGACCGGAGCAAUCCAGGUCAGUUUCUAUCUGUAACGCUACUUUUCCCAGUACGAAAGGAUCGGAAAAGAGGGGCCUAUACCUAACGCAUGCCCCACCCCUAAUUCAUGAAAACAAAUAAAUAAAAUAAGGGAGGGCCAAAACCCUGCCGCCC